rnacentral:misc_RNA from 1 species
AACGCAUAUUGCGCCCUCUGGUAUUCCGGAGGGCAUGCCUGUCCGAGCGUCAUUAUCACCCCUCAAGCCCGGCUUGCUGUUGGAUGUCAGCGAGGGGACCCCUCCGCGGGUCCCGCGCUCCUCCCAAAGAUAAUGACGGCGUCUGUGAGGACUCCAGUACACUGAGCUUUCGGGCACGUACUCGGCUAGAAGUCCAGACCCGGUCGACGUCUGGCCCCCCUCACGGGGGGUCCGACACCCCCCUUUAUCAAGGUUGACCUCGGAUCAGGUAGGAAUACCCGCUGAACUUAA